GACGGCAGGUAUCUUACGUGGGAUUUACGAUCCGACGGGUCGGAACGCAGCUCGGGAACAGAAAGAAAGCAGGUUAUUUGCAAUCUACCGGAGCUUAAGGGCAGAAGGCAGGUAUCUUACGUGGGAUUUAUGAUCCGACGGGUCCGAACGCAGCUCGGGAACAGAAAGAAAGCAGGUUGUUUGCAAUCUACCGGAGCUUAAGGGCAGAAGGCAGGUACCUUACGUGGGAUUUAUGAUCCGACGGGUCCGAACGCAGCUCGGGAACAGAAAGAAAGCAGGUUGUUUGCAAUCUACCGGAGCUUAAGGGCAGAAGGCAGGUACCUUGCGUGGGAUUUACAGUCCGACAGGGUCCAAAUGCCGCUCGGGAACAGAAAGAAAGCAGGUUAUUUGCAAUGUACCAGAGCUUAAGGGCAGAAGGCAGGACCCCCAUCAUUAAUCCUAAGAUCCUUAGGACCCACCUGGAGGACUCUGGGUAUUAGGUGUCCAAGAAGAAUGUUCAAAUCUUCCGACGGCAGGUGCAUGAGAGUCUGCAUGAAACCCUAAUAAAAAAGACAGUGAAGGAGAAUCAUGUCAGGAGCUGAUACUCAUGAGUCUCGGGAAGCCUCCAGGGACAGAGCACAACUAGAGCAUCCAAGAAUGAGAAGAGCCCUAGAGCAAACGCAAGGCCCAGGAAGAGAUAAUUCGUUUGAGAAGAAAAGGGUCCAGGAGCUAUUGCAACCCAGCUAGCAAGCAGAGUCCUGGGCUGAUCAGAGUGGGGAAAACCCACCGAGUUGUUCAAUGGCAGGACAAACAGAGCCCUGCUGCAGGGAGGGGACACUCAUCUACCCUGUACCCCCAUACACCUCUGUCUCGCUCCCCGUUCAGGUUGACAAUGUGCUCACCACACAGCAGCACCUCCUGGUCUUGAUUGUUGGGGCCCUCGCAAUCAUUGCACUGGCCCUUCCUGCCCUCUGACCAGAGCUCUUCCCUGCUACACUCUUCUGUGAGUCUCCAGCAGGACCUUUUGCACAUCAGCAAGCUGGGCAGCGUCAAGUGCCCGGAAUCCACCCCAUGCCUUCCCACCUCUGUACAUUUGCUCAUGGUUCAUUUCAUGGCCAUUGAACUUGUCUUGGUCAGUUUUCUUUCAGCUCUCAGUGAUAGACACAUUCCACAACGACCUACAGAGAAAAAAAAAGGCACAAAUUGUAUAGCAAACCACUACCUCUACUAAAGUAACCUAUUGUUCUUUAGAACUGAAGA